rnacentral:rRNA from 1 species
UGGGGAAUAUUGCACAAUGGGGAAGACCCUGAUGCAGCGACGCCGCGUGAGCGAUGAAGUAUUUCGGUAUGUAAAGCUCUAUCAGCAGGGAAGAAAGUGACGGUACCUGACUAAGAAGCCCCGGCUAACUACGUGCCAGCAGCCGCGGUAAUACGUAGGGGCGAAGCGUUAUCCGGAUUUACUGGGUGUAAAGGGAGCGUAGACGGAAGUGCAAGUCUGAAGUGAAAGCCCGGGGCUCAACCCCGGGCAGCUGUUGGCAAUGACUGUAUUUUCUAGAGUGCUGGAGAGGUAAGUGGAAUUCCUAGUGUAGCGGUGAAAUGCGUAGAUAUUAGGAGGAACACCAGUGGCGAAGGCGGCUUACUGGACAGUGACUGACGUUGAGGCUCGAAAGCGUGGGGAGCAAACAGGAUUAGAUACCC